CUAUACCUACGGGAGGCAGCAGUCGAGAAUCCUUCAAAAUGGAGGAGACCCUGAUGGUGCGACGCCGCGUGGGGGAAUGAAGGUCUUCGGAUUGUAAACCCCUGUCGUGUGGGAGCAAAUUAAAAAGAUAGUACCACAAGAGGAAGAGACGGCUAACUCUGUGCCAGCAGCCGCGGUAAUACAGAGGUCUCAAGCGUUGUUCGGAAUCACUGGGCGUAAAGCGUGCGUAGGCUGUUUCGUAAGUCGUGUGUGAAAGGCGCGGGCUCAACCCGCGGACGGCCCAUGAUACUG
rnacentral:rRNA from 1 species